GGGGAAGUGGUUGCAGGGAGGAGACCCAGUCACUCAGGAGACUUCUGAGUUAGCGCUGGGGAAGACAUUGGUCAGUCCUAGGCACCUCUUGGUCAGUAGUUCCGAGGGCCUCCAGGCCCUGCACAGCCCUCCCCCUCUCACCUGGGGGGAGGCGGGGAGCGAUGGAGAAGCCUUCACAUGCCGCUCACCUCGGCCUCACAGGAAGGUAGCAGCCAUGGAAUUACCUGGAACUGGUCCUGUGUUGGGGAGAAACAACAGUUUUCUGAGUCAGGUAUGGGGCUGGGUGAGGCAGCUGUGUGUUGGGGUGGCUUUUUUCUCUCUGUUGUUUUGGAUAAUGUUUACAAUUUGCCUCAAUCACUUUUAUAAAAAGAUCCACCUCCAGCCCGCCCCUCUUCCCACUCAGGCCUUCGAGGCUGUCUGAAGAUGCUUGAAAAAACUCAACCAAAUCCCAGUUCAACUCAGACUUUGCACAUAAUAUUUAUAUUUAUACUCAGAAAAGAAACAUUUCAGUAAUUUAUAAUAAAGAGCACUAUUUUUUAAUGAAAAAAAAAAGA
rnacentral:lncRNA from 1 species